AGCGGCGGACGGGUGAGUAACGCGUGGGUAACCUGCCUCAUACAGGGGGAUAACAGUUGGAAACGGCUGCUAAUACCGCAUAAGCGCACAGUACCGCAUGGUACGGUGUGAAAAACUCCGGUGGUAUGAGAUGGACCCGCGUCUGACUAGGUAGUUGGUGGGGUAACGGCCUACCAAGCCGACGAUCAGUAGCUGACCUGAGAGGGUGACCGGCCACAUUGGGACUGAGACACGGCCCGA
rnacentral:rRNA from 1 species